CUGCAGCCUACCAGGCUCAUCUGUCCAUGGGAUUUUCCAGGCAAGAGUACUGGAGUGGGGUGCCAUUGCCUUCUCCGGAAACUUGAUGCUAAUGAGGGGGAAAAAAAAAGGCAGUAAGUUCUAGAGAGUAGACAAGAAGAGAGGCAGAAGUCUGAGAAGGAUGAGCACUGCAGAAAGGACACUUGGCAGGGGUGGUAGCCUCUGGUCUUCUUGGCAUGCUUCUUCCGGUGUGGAAAAUCUUCACUACAAGCAGGCUGGAGUGAGGCUGAUGGAGACCCCCGUAUUCUCAGCUUGCUGUUGCUGAAUGGAGCUUCGGCCCCAUGACUGAAGUUGGGUUGGAGGAGACAGUCCCUAGCCUCUCGAUUGCACUUGCCUUCCCUCUAUCCAUCUGCGACAGGGAAUUAAGCGGGUAAAGGAAGGCACUGCUUCUGGUGCAGAAACCAAAGAUGAUAAUUGUGUUUUCCCAUUCAUCUAUGGAAACAAAAAGCA